rnacentral:rRNA from 1 species
GAGUUUGAUCCUGGCUCAGGAUGAACGCUGGCGGCGUGCUUAACACAUGCAAGUCGAGCGAGGUUUAAGUAGCUUGCUACUUAGACCUAGCGGCGGACGGGUGCGUAACGCGUGGGCAACCUACCCUAUACAUCGGAAUAACUCAUCGAAAGGUGGGCUAAUGCCGAAUACCUCCUUUAUAUCGAUUGUUAUUUAGGAGAAAGCUUUUGCGGUAUAGGAUGGGCCCGCGUCUGAUUAGCUAGUUGGUGAGGUAACGGCUCACCAAGGCGACGAUCAGUAGCCGACCUGAGAGGGUGAUCGGCCACAUUGGAACUGAGACACGGUCCAAACUCCUACGGGAGGCAGCAGUGGGGAAUAUUGCACAAUGGGGGAAACCCUGAUGCAGCAACGCUGCGUGAGCGAUGAAGGCCUUCGGGUCGUAAAGCUCUUUCCUAAGGGAAGAAUUCUUGACGGUACCUUAGGAAUAAGCCCCGGCUAACUACGUGCCAGCAGCCGCGGUAAUACGUAGGGGGCAAGCGUUAUCCGGAAUCACUGGGCGUAAAGGGUGCGUAGGUGGUUUUGUAAGUCUGAGGUAAAAGGUCACGGCUCAACCGUGGUAAGCCUUGGAAACUGCAAAACUUGAAUGCAGGAGAGGAAAGUGGAAUUUCCUAGUGUAGCGGUGAAAUGCGUAGAUAUUAGGAGGAACAUCCAUGGCGAAGGCAGCUUUCUGGACUGUUAUUGACACUGAGGCACGAAAGCGUGGGGAGCAAACAGGAUUAGAUACCCUGGUAGUCCACGCCGUAAACGAUGAGUACUAGGUGUCGGGGGUCGAACCUCGGUGCCGCAGCUAACGCAUUAAGUACUCCGCCUGGGAAGUACGCUCGCAAGAGUAAAACUCAAAGGAAAUUGACGGGGACCCGCACAAGCAGCGGAGCAUGGUGGUUUAAUUCGAAGCAACGCGAAGAACCUUACCUAGACUUGACAUCCCAAUGAUCGUCUCUUAACCGGAGUCUUUUCUUCUUUGAAGAACAUUGGUGACAGGUGGGUGCAUGAUUGUCGUCAGCUCGGUGUCGUGGAGAAUGUUUGGGAUAAGUCCCGCAACGAGGCGCAACCCCUAUUCUUUAGUUGCCAUCAGGUAAUGCUGGGCACUCUAGAGAGACUGCCGAGGAUAACUCGGAGGAAGGUGGGGAUGACGUCAAAUCAUCAUGCCCCUUAUGUCUAGGGCUACACACGUGCUACAAUGGGCGAUACAACGAGUUGCAAGCUCGCGAGAGUUAGCUAAUCUCUUAAAGUCGUUCUCAGUUCGGAUUGUAGGCUGAAACUCGCCUACAUGAAGCUGGAGUUGCUAGUAAUCGCGGAUCAGAAUGCCGUGGUGAAUGCGUUCCCGGGUCUUGUACACACCGCCCGUCACACCAUGGGAGCUUGGGGCACCCGAAGCCAGUUGUCCAACCGUAAGGAGGAGGCUGUCGAAGGUGAAACAAGUGACUGGGGUGAAGUCGUAACAAGGUAGCCGU